rnacentral:rRNA from 1 species
AGAGUUUGAUCCUGGCUCAGGACGAACGCUGGCGGCGUGCUUAACACAUGCAAGUCGAACGAUGAUCCGGUGCUUGCACCGGGGAUUAGUGGCGAACGGGUGCGUAACACGUGAGGAACCUGCCCCGGACUUGGGAAUAACAGUCGGAAACGGCUGCUAAUACCGAAUAUCUCCGUAGCGUCGCAUGGCGCAUCGAAGAAAGCUUUUGCGGUCUGGGAGGGCCUCGCGGCCUAUCAGCUUGUUGGCGAGGUAACGGCUCACCAAGGCAUCGACGGGUAGCUGGUCUGAGAGGAUGACCGGCCACNCUGGGACUGAGACACGGCCCAGACUCCUACGGGAGGCAGCAGUGGGGAAUAUUGCACAANGGGCGAAAGCCUGAUGCANCAACGCCNCGUGCGGGAAGAAGGCCUUAGGGUUGUAAACCGCUUUCAGCAGGGAAGAAACUGACGGUACCUGCAGAANAAGGUGCGGCCAACUACGUGCCAGCAGCCGCGGUGACACGUAGGCACCAAGCGUUGUCCGGAUUCAUUGGGCGUAAAGAGCGUGUAGGCGGUCAGGUAGGUCGGUUGUGAAAACUGGAGGCUCAACCUUCAGAGGUCGAUCGAAACCCCCUGGNUAGAGUCCGGGAGAGGAGAGUGGAAUUCCUGGUGUAGCGGUGAAAUGCUGA